AGGGUUUGAUCAUGGCUCAGGACGAACGCUGGCGGCGUGCUUAACACAUGCAAGUCGAACGAGGGCCCGGAGCUUGCUCCGGUGACCCGAGUGGCGGACGGGUGAGUAACACGUGACCAACCUACCUUCGGGAGGGGGACAACCUGGGGAAACCCGGGCUAAUACCGCAUAUCGUCCACGGGCCGCAUGGCCUAUGGAUAAAAGGGAGCCUCUGCUUGCAAGCUCUCACCCGAAGAGGGGGUCGCGGCGUAUCAGCUAGUUGGUGGGGUAAUGGCCUACCAAGGCAUCGACGCGUAGCGGGUCUGAGAGGACGACCCGUCACAUUGGGACUGAGAUACGGCCCAGACUCCUACGGGAGGCAGCAGUGGGGAAUAUUGCGCAAUGGCCGAAAGGUUGACGCAGCGACGCCGCGUGUGGGAGGACGCCCUUCGGGGUGUAAACCACUGUCAGGGGGGAAGAACUUCGUAGGUGUGAAUAGCACUUGCGGUUGACGGUACCCCCAGAGGAAGCGCCGGCUAACUCAGUGCCAGCAGCCGCGGU
rnacentral:rRNA from 1 species